GCGUGUGUGUGUGUGUGUGUGUGUGUAUGUAUAUAUAUAUAUAUAUAUAUAUACAUACACACACACACAUACACUG